AUGUCAAAUUUCAACAAAAAGGACAUUUGGAUAAUGAGCUGUAAGCUCUUCAGAGAUGAAGUCUCUUGCAGUGAGAGCAAGACAGAAACCCUGUUGGCUCGGGGGGAGACUCAAAAGGCAGCUCCUCCCAGAGUCAUGCAGUGCAGGAUUCCUUCCAGACCAAAGUCACAAGGGUUACAUAGUCUACAUAUAGAUGCAUUGUUCCAAUCAUCCCAUCUCACCAAGACAUCUCAAAACACCCAAGAUCUGAUACUUUCUGUGGAGGAACUGUUUUCCCAUACAGACUGUACAGGAGAUCAGAGAUACAUGACUAUGGUCCAAUGA
rnacentral:lncRNA from 1 species